UCCACAGAGCUCAGUGGUAGAGCUAUCGGCUGUUAACCGAUCGGUCGUAGGUUCGAGUCCUACCUGUGGAGCCA
rnacentral:tRNA from 1 species